GAUGAACGCUGGCGGCGUGCCUAAUACAUGCCAGUCGAGCGAACAGACGAGGAGCUUGCUCCUCUGACGUUAGCGGCGGACGGGUGAGUAACACGUGGAUAACCUACCUAUAAGACUGGGAUAACUUCGGGAAACCGGAGCUAAUACCGGAUAAUAUAUUGAACCGCAUGGUUCAAUAGUGAAAGACGGUUUUGCUGUCACUUAUAGAUGGAUCCGCGCCGCAUUAGCUAGUUGGUAAGGUAACGGCUUACCAAGGCAACGAUGCGUAGCCGACCUGAGAGGGUGAUCGGCCACACUGGAACUGAGACACGGUCCAGACUCCUACGGGAGGCAGCAGUAGGGAAUCUUCCGCAAUCGGCGAAAGCCUGACGGAGCAACGCCGCGUGAGUGAUGAAGGUCUUCGGAUCGUAAAACUCUGUUAUUAGGGAAGAACAAAUGUGUAAGUAACUAUGCACGUCUUGACGGUACCUAAUCAGAAAGCCACGGCUAACUACGUG
rnacentral:rRNA from 1 species